rnacentral:rRNA from 1 species
AUCAUGGCUCAGGAUGAACGCUAGCUACAGGCUUAACACAUGCAAGUCGAGGGGAAACGACAUCGAAAGCUUGCUUUUGAUGGGCGUCGACCGGCGCACGGGUGAGUAACGCGUAUCCAACCUGCCCACCACUUGGGGAUAACCUUGCGAAAGUAAGACUAAUACCCAAUGAUAUCUCUAGAAGACAUCUGAAAGAGAUUAAAGAUUUAUCGGUGAUGGAUGGGGAUGCGUCCGAUUAGCUUGUUGGCGGGGUAACGGCCCACCAAGGCAACGAUCAGUAGGGGUUCUGAGAGGAAGGUCCCCCACAUUGGAACUGAGACACGGUCCAAACUCCUACGGGAGGCAGCAGUGAGGAAUAUUGGUCAAUGGAUGUAAGUCUGAACCAGCCAAGUAGCGUGCAGGAUGACGGCCCUAUGGGUUGUAAACUGCUUUUAUAUGGGGAUAAAGUGAGUUACGUGUAGCUUAUUGCAGGUACCAUAUGAAUAAGGACCGGCUAAUUCCGUG